rnacentral:rRNA from 1 species
ACGCGAGCUGGGUUCAGAACGUCGUUAGACAGUUCGGUACCUAUCCGUCGCAGGCGUAGGAAAUUUGAGAAGACCUGUCCUUAGUACGAGAGGACCGGGAUGGACGUAACUCGGAUGUACCAGUUGUCCUGCCAAGGGCAUGGCUGGGUAGCUAUGUACGGAGUGGAUAAGAGAGAAAAGCAUCUAAGCACGAAGCCAACUUCAAUAUAAGAUUUCCCACCGCAAGGGUAAGACCCCAGAAAGACUAUCUGGUUGAUAGGUCGAAGGUGUAAGUGCAGCAAUGUAUUUAGCUUAUCGAUACUAAUAGGUCGAGGACUUGACCAAU